AACGAACGCUGGCGGCAUGCCUAACACAUGCAAGUCGAACGAGAACUUCGGGUCUUGUGGCGCACGGGGGCGUAACGCGUGGGAACCUGCCCUUAGGUUCGGAAUACCUCCCCGACAGGGGUGCUAAUACAGGAUAAUGUCUUAGGACCAAAGAUUUAUCGCCUUUGGAUGGGCACGCGUUGGAUUAGCUUGUUGGUAGGGUAAAAGCCUACCAAGGCGACGAUGCAUAGCUGGUCGGAGAGGAUGAUCAGCAAGACUGGGACUACGACACGGCCCAGACUCCUACGGAAGGCAGCAGUGGGUAACAGUGGACAAUGGGGGAAGGCCUGAUCCAGCAAGGCCGCGUGAGUGAUGAAGGCCGUAGGGAUGUAAUGCUCUUUUACCCGGGAUGAUAAUGACGGUACCGGGUGAAUAAGCUCCGGCUAACUCCGUG
rnacentral:rRNA from 1 species